CCCGUCGUCUGUACUGCGUUUUGUUCAAGAUCCUCGCAACGAUUUCUGGUUCUACUGCGGAUCAUAACCCAGCCAACCUUCCAAUGCAGGUGUUUCUCACCUGUCUUACUAUGAAGUGGAUCUAACUACCUUUCCUGGAUUACUCUCGGCUUAGUGACUUAAUUGAUAAAACUGAAUCAUAUUAUCAAGAAAGUGAAAAAACAACGUACAGAAUGGGAAUUGCAAAUCAUAAAUCUGGAUUUUAUUUAUUUCUUCGACAGACCGAGAGAGCGCAAGCAGGGGGAGCAGUAGAGGGAGA